rnacentral:rRNA from 1 species
AGCGAACGCUGGCGGCAGGCCUAACACAUGCAAGUCGAACGGGCUCUUCGGAGCUAGUGGCGGACGGGUGAGUAACACGUGGGAACGUGCCUUUAGGUUCGGAAUAAGCCCGGGAAACUGGGUCUAAUACCGGAUGUGCCCUUCGGGGGAAAGAUUUAUCGCCUUUAGAGCGGCCCGCGUCUGAUUAGCUAGUUGGUGGUGUAAUGGACCACCAAGGCGACGAUCAGUAGCUGGUCUGAGAGGAUGAUCAGCCACAUUGGGACUGAGACACGGCCCAAACUCCUACGGGAGGCAGCAGUGGGGAAUCUUGCGCAAUGGGCGAAAGCCUGACGCAGCCAUGCCGCGUGAAUGAUGAAGGUCUUAGGAUUGUAAAAUUCUUUCACCGGGGACGAUAAUGACGGUACCCGGAGAAGAAGCCCCGGCUAACUUCGUGCCAGCAGCCGCCGUAACAC